GACGCUUAUCACCUGUGUAAGAUCAUUACUCGAUGAGGACCAAAGAGAUUGGGACGUUCAUGUUCAACAAAUAGUAUGUGCAAUAAACACUGCAAAGCACGAAACUCUUGGAUGUAGUCCUUACUACUGCAACUUUGGAAGGGAUCACAUUCUGUACACAGAUCAAUACAUUUCCGCCAAAAUUAAUUCGGAUGAAGACCUCGCAGUGGCCCAAAAGGCAAGAAUAAAGUCUGUGCAUAACAUUCAGCAUUUUGUAUUAACCAGGAUCAAAGCAGCUCAUGAUAACAGCAAGAAACGCUAUGACCUAAGAGCUCGGAAUAGAACGUUCGCCGAAGGGGAAAUAGUGUGGAGAAGAUCAUUCGAACUGUCCAACGCAGCGCAGCAUCGAACGAAAAAACUAGGAGCAAAGUUCAUACCAUGCAUCGUAAGACAAGCGCAAGGCUGUAAUAACUACUUACUAGAAGACAUCAAGACAUCAAAAACUGGCGUUUAUCACGCAAAGGAUAUCAAACCAGACUAAAACCAACGAAUCGAGCUAUGUCCACAGCACCCUAUCCGCUGUCAACAAGGAGCAUUUGCCGAAGAAAACAUCGUUUUGUAUGAAGGAAAAACUGAAUAAGACUUCCUGAUAAUUCAUCAUCCAUACACGAUCAAUCUCCAAAACAAAUUUUAUCCAGCUAUGUAAGCACACCAACUGCCGACUAUGAGCAUAACGCCACAGAAACAUGCUAGCUGCUGACUCGAAGGCCCAACAACUCUAAAUGAAACCUCGUCGCAGCAAGCAUUCCUCUCGUACCUCAACGUCUUCAGGAUCCACGAAACGCCAUAUUUUUAUGAGUAUCGAGCGAUAUAAAUUCCCUAUCAAGCCAACAAACAGAAGGAGAGCAGCAGCAUAUGUAAUUCGAGAGUUCAAUUCAACAAAAACUAUUCACACCAUUUAAAGAUCACUCACUUAAGUCUGGAAUACUAAUAAACGCCAUAUUUAACGCUAGUGCUUAUCAAACUCAACAUGACUCAAUACAUACUACGUAACAUGUUUGAUUCAUAAAUCAUCCAAAACGUAUUUUCUCAGCAAAAUUUCUGGCGCCCAACUACAAAAUCGUAACUCAGAUGUUGGAGACGCGAUUGGCCCUAGAAUAAUGUAAGAUAAGAAAGUAGGCUUAAUGAUAUUCCGCAGCGCAGCAGCCGCGGUGAAGAAGUGAAUUUCUUGAAUAGAUCUGGCAUACAAAAUGUAAAUCAAGAAGAAGUAUACCGUUAGCUAAUAAGUUCUGUUUUGAAGUACGGUAGUUUAGUAGCACACAAUACUCGAUGUCCUAGGCAAACCUCAGGAGAAGAUUUUUCGAUAUUGUAUAGAGUAAGAAUCAAUUAGCCUUUCCAAGAUCUGAGCAUCACCAGAUAGACGAAAUUUUUGCGAAUGCAACAUUCGCAAAAAUUUCGUAGCCGUUUGAAUGAUGUUGUGUUACAUGAAUGAGAUUAUGCCGACAAAAUGCAACCCAAAAUUUUCACUGUGUAUCCCGCAAGACAAAUACAGCCCUCGAAUACAUGUUGAUGGUUUCUCUCUUCAUUCCCAACAACCAACGCUGACCAUUACUCCCAAAUGACCAUCACACUAGCACAUACAUGCGCGCGAUCACAAGAUCGGACUCACUGAUCCAACAAGCCAUCACUAUACCUGAUGCCAAGUUGGCGUGUGGCAAUAAGUGCAUGGUGUCAUCAUAAAGUGACCAUAAAUCAAAUGCAAGUGGCCGAAAACGCGGAAUAGUUUAUUGCCAAGAAGUCGAUGCAUGUGACUUAAAGAGUGAGCAUUAUCGGAACAAAUUCUUUUCUGAUGCAAGGAACGGCCAUGAUAGGCAAUUGAUCCACGUGCUUUUUGCAAAGUGUUGAUCGGCCGCGGCACAAAUCAACUGAAAAGAUCUUCGAUUAAGCUCGAACAGCAAUCCCAGAAGAAAUCAAUGCAGGCACACUAGAAC